rnacentral:rRNA from 1 species
UACAGAGGUCCCAAGCGUUGUUCGGAUUCACUGGGCGUAAAGGGUGCGUAGGUGGCGGGGUAAGUCUGAUGUGAAAUCUCCGAGCUUAACUCGGAAACUGCAUCGGAUACUGCCUUGCUCGAGGGUUGGAGGGGGGGACUGGAAUACUUGGUGUAGCAGUGAAAUGCGUAGAUAUCAAGUGGAACACCAGUGGCGAAGGCGAGUCCCUGGACAACUCCUGACACUGAGGCACGAAAGCUAGGGGGAGCAAACAGG